AGAGCUGGUCCCCGAUGGAGAGUGGUUUUUAGUCCGUGAGAAUCGGACACUAGCCUCCGAAUUCCGUUCAGGAGUGCGUCUAUUAAGAUUUUCCACUCUCUAGUCCAAAAACAAAAAAAAAAAAAAAAACAGACAUACAAUAAGUUUGGCGUUCUACGUUUGACUGCUUCGACUUUUUUGCUACAAAAAUUAUCAUUAUUCCAUAAAAUGGACAAAGCUGGACGGAACAACAGAUCCAAUCAACUUAAUCCCAACAAUGCCGAAUUCAAAGGCACUAAGUCUACCUCACCUCAUCAGGCUAGUGUUGAUAACAGGGCCAAUCAACAAAACCCGAACAACGCUGCCUAUGCAAAGUCACGUCAAAAUUAAUAGAUAUGUGUGCCUAGAUGCUAUUUAAUAUAUCAUGUAAAAGUUUAUGAAUAAUAAAAUGAGUAUAUAAAAAUAU